GCAUUGUGUAACGGCAACAUUUAUUCGCUAAAGAUUAUUCCCAUAAAGCAACCAAAAGGUUGCUGCAGCAAGUGUAGCGCUGCUGCGCAGUCAACGCGUAGUUUCCGAACCAUCGACUAGCGCUGGCACAUACAUAUUAUUACUUAAUUUCGAACAAAAAUCAGUGAGAAAUGUACUUUGUAUACUAACAAAUAGACACGUUAUAACAAAUUUUGUGGGGAGGUGCGGAAACGCUUCUACGACUUCUUUUACACACAAUUUUUCGCAAUACACACACAUCCACAGCAAGCAAACGAACGAACUAAAAAGAAAAUAAAAA
rnacentral:sRNA from 1 species